rnacentral:rRNA from 1 species
UACGUAGGGAGCAAGCGUUGUCCGGAAUCAUUGGGCGUAAAGCGCGCGUAGGCGGCCCUGUAAGUCCGUUGUGAAAGUCAAAGGCUCAACCUUUGAAAGCCGAUGGAUACUGCAGGGCUAGAGUCCGGAAGAGGCGAGUGGAAUUCCUGGUGUAGCGGUGGAAUGCGCAGAUAUCAGGAGGAACACCAAUAGCGAAGGCAGCUCGCUGGGACGGUACUGACGCUGAGACGCAAAAGCGUGGGGAGCAAACAGG